UACGGAGGAUGCAAGCGUUAUCCGGAUUUAUUGGGUUUAAAGGGUGCGCAGGUUGUUUGAUAAGUCAGUGGUGAAAGUCUGUCGCUUAACGGUAGGAUUGCCGUUGAUACUGUUGGACUUGAAUAUGGAUGAGGUAGGCGGAAUGUGUAGUGUAGCGGUGAAAUGCAUAGAUAUUACACAGAACACCGAUUGCGAAGGCAGCUUACUAAUCCAUCAUUGACGCUGAGGCACGAAAGCGUGGGGAUCAAACAGGAUUA
rnacentral:rRNA from 1 species